rnacentral:rRNA from 1 species
AUUCCAGCUCCAAUAGCGUAUAUUAAAGUUGUUGCAGUUAAAAAGCUCGUAGUUGGAUUUCUGGUGGGAGCACGGGUCGGCCCUCACGGGUUGUACUGUUGUUGCGUCCCGCCGUUUCGGAGGGAAUGGUCUCGCUAUUAAGUUAGCGUGAUCGGGAACUCUGUCGUUUACUGUGAAAAAAUUAGAGUGUUCAAAGCAGGCCUUCGCUGUGAAUACAUUAGCAUGGAAUAAUAAGAUAGGACUGUAGUGCUAUUUUGUUGGUUUGCGUACUAUGGUAAUGAUUAAUAGGGAUAGUUGGGGGUAUUCAUAUUCAAUUGUCAGAGGUGAAAUUCUUGGAUUUAUGGAAGAUGAACUACUGCGAAAGCAUUUACCAAGGAUGUUUUCAUUA